AGCGAACGCUGGCGGCAGGCCUAACACAUGCAAGUCGAACGAAGUCUUCGGACUUAGUGGCGGACGGGUGAGUAACACGUGGGAACGUGCCUUUAGGUUCGGAAUAACUCAGGGAAACUUGUGCUAAUACCGAAUGUGCCCUUCGGGGGAAAGAUUUAUCGCCUUUAGAGCGGCCCGCGUCUGAUUAGCUAGUUGGUGAGGUAAAGGCUCACCAAGGCGACGAUCAGGAGCUGGUCUGAGAGGAUGAUCAGCCACAUUGGGACUGAGACACGGCCCAAACUCCGACGGGAGGCAGCAGUGGGGAAUCUUGCGCAAUGGGCGAAAGCCUGACGCAGCCAUGCCGCGUGAAUGAUGAAGGUCUUAGGAUUGUAAAAUUCUUUCACCGGGGACGAUAAUGACGGUACCCGGAGAAGAAGCCCCGGCUAACUUCGUGCCAGCCGCCGCGGUAAAAC
rnacentral:rRNA from 1 species